UACGAAGGGGGGCUAGCGUUGUUCGGAAUCACUGGGCGUAAAGCGCACGUAGGCGGAUUUUUUAAGUCAGGGGGUGAAAAUCCCGGGGCUCAACCUCGGAACUGCCUUUUGAUACUGGAGAUCUUGAGUCCGGAAGAGGUAAGUGGAACUGCGAGUGUAGAGGUGAAAAUUCGUAGAUAUUCGCAAGAACACCAGUGGCCGAAGGCGGCUUACUGGUCCGGAACUGACGCUGAGG
rnacentral:rRNA from 1 species